CACGUAGGGUGCGAGCGUUGUCCGGAUUUAUUGGGCGUAAAGAGCUCGUAGGCGGCUUGUCGCGUCAACUGUGAAAACCCGUGGCUCAACCAUGUGGUCUGCAGUCGAUACGGGCAGGCUAGAAUUCGGUAGGGGAGACUGGAAUUCCUGGUGUAGCGGUGAAAUGCGCAGAUAUCAGGAGGAACACCGGUGGCGAAGGCGGGUCUCUGGGCCGAUAUUGACGCUGAGGAGCGAAAGCGUGGGGAGCGAACAGG
rnacentral:rRNA from 1 species